CGGGAUGGAAACUGAAUUCUAGAUCAGCAUCUAAGCAUCCUUUCCUGUCUGAAGAUACUAGGAAUGCUUCUUAAAGCUGGUUGGAAUAUUCAGCCACCUUCCCCAACAUUUACCUCAAUCUCUAAGUUCUUUUCCUCCACUGUCUUCAUGAGCACCAUUCGUUCUCGCUUUGGGGUAUUCAGUAGGGGGGUCCCUUGGCUUCCCUGGGAACCCAGCAAACGUUCCAUACUCAGGAGGUUCUCCAACAUGGCUGGAUCCAUAUUGCUUAGCUUCUGUAAGAGGCUGAGUUGAAAAAAAGGUUACCUUUUCUCUCCUCACCUCCAGCAGCAGGACAACCCUUGUCAUACCUUAACUUGGUGCAUGUGUUCCAUGAUCCUGAUGGGACUCUUUAAGCAGUUACCUAGUCUCUGAUAACUGAUAUCUAGUUAUCUUGUCUUUUUCAGGUGAAGUAAACUCUCAGGGAUACUGGAAUAUCAGAUAAGAGGCUAACAUGCACUGGAUGCCACACAUUAGGGACCUCAAUUCUACCCUGUCCAAGAGGUACUUGUGAUAAGGAAGAAGGGGAGGGGGGCGCUGGGAAGAUGACUCAGCAGUUAAAUGCUUUGCCAUGUAAACAAGGGACUUGGAAGUUGGAUACUUAGAGCCCACAAUAAAUGCCAAGUGGGUGUGGCAGCCUAUUAUUCUAGCCUCAAAGGGAGACACAGGAUGCCCCAAGCAAGCAAGCAAGCAGGCUAGAAAUACUAGCCACAACAGGAAGCUCUGGGUUUUAUUGAGACCUUACCUCAGUGUGUAAGGUACAAGAGUGACUGAGGCAGAGUCUCAGCUUCAUCCUCAAGCAUCCAUAUGCAUAUGCACACAUAGCCUUGCAUACCACAUGCAGAUGCACACAUAACCAUGCAUACCACAUGCAAGCACACAUAGCCUUGCAUACCACAUGCAGAUGCACACAUAACCAUGCAUACCACAAACACAAAGAAAGGGAUAAGGUAAGAGCUGAGGGCUUGGACAUUUGUAAAGCAAGCAGGGAAAGUGUCACAAAAGAGGCCCUCGUGAACAGGAAAGUUACUAAAGACCUAAAGUGAGAAGACGCCUUUAUCCAGUGGGCUGUAUACAGAAGAUUCUUGUUCCAGCGGAGUCCUGGCUAUCUAAGCACAAAAAGUCUACUGUGCUGGGCAUGUCAGCACAGCACCUGGGAUCCCAGCACUGAGGAGGGAAGUCAAGAGGAUCAGUAGUUCAAGGCCAGCCUGGACUUUAUGAGACCUUGUUUCAAAAGAACAAAAUCCAAAGAAACAAAAAAAUGAAACAACCAAAUGGAAGACUUUGGUUGGAUCUGACCUGCAUGCAGUCUGUGGUUUAUAGCCCUCUAGGCCAGACUAACAGGCCAAGUGUAAGUCUUUUGUGUAGUUCCCGUCUUGUUUGCCAUUCC
rnacentral:lncRNA from 1 species